UUUUCGGCGGACACAACAUCUUUGUUUGUAUGUGGUGCUGAGGAUCGAACCCGGGCCGCACGCAUGCCAGGCGAGCGUGCUACCGCUUGAGCCACAUCCCCAGCCCAAAAAAAAACCCAACCAUCACACCAUGAAGACUCACUACUGAUAUGUGGAGAAGUUCCAAAGGAGAGGAGAUGAGACCUCCCACCAAUAGCAGCAUGGGAAAACCAGCCCUGACACAGACCCUCCAGUCAAGUCGCACUGAGGUGACUGUAAUAUUUGAGGGAAACCUCAUGAAAGACCCCCCGUAGAACUGGCCAGAUGAGCCUUCACAAAUUUAUGAUCUGCCAAAUUUGUGAGAGAUAAAUUAUGAUUAUUUUAAAACAUUAAAUUUUAAAGUAAUUUGUUAUCCGUGAUAUGCAAGAUAAGAAUUUUUCUUAUUGAUUCGCUAAAGAUCUUUACAUUUCAAAGUUUAUAGUUUGCCAGACAGGGUCUCACUGAGUUGUUUAGGGCCUUGUUAAGUUGCUGAGCUGGCUUUGAACUCUCAAUCCUGGUGUCUCAGCUUUCUGGAGCUGCUGGAAUUAUAGCCAUCAUGCAUGACAACUUAUAUUUCUUAGAAUAGGUUUUUAUACUUCUUAUGAAAAUAUAUAAUUCUUUUAAUUAAUAGUUUGACAUCUAAUCACUAAUUUUUAAAAAUUUUUGCAUUUUUUAUUUUAAUUUGUUAGGUAUGACAGCAGAAUGCAUUACAAUUCACAUUACACAUAUAGAGCACAAUUUUUCAUAUCUGUGGUUGUACACAAAGUAGAGUCACACCAUUCAUGUCUUCAUACAUGUACUUAGGGUAAUGAUGUCCAUCUCAUUCUACCCUCUUUCCUACUCACAUACCCCCUCCCUUUCCCUCCAUCCCCUUGCUCUAUCUAGAGUUCCCCUAAUCCUCCCAUGCUCUACCCCCUAACCCCAUUAUGGAUCAGCAUCCUUAUAUCAGAGAAAACAUUCGGCCUUUAGUUUUUUGGGAUUGGCUUACUUCACUUAGCUUGAUAUUCUCCAACUCCAUCCAUUUACCUGAAAAUGCCAUGAUUUUAUUCUCUUUUAAUGCUAAAUAGUGUUCCAUUGUGUAUAUAUACCACAUAUUUUAAUCCAUUCAUCAACUGAAGGACAUCUAGGUUGGUUUAGCAAGAAGAGUGAAGUAGGUAGCAUCAGUAUACCAGACCUUAAACUAUACUACAGAGCAAUAGUAACAAAAACAGCAUGGUAUUGGCACCAAAACAGACUUGUAACCAAUGGUACAGAAUAGAGGACACAGAGACAACCCACAUAACUAUAGUUAUAUUAGACAAAGGUGCCAAAAACAUACAUUAGAGAAAAGAUAGACUCUUCAACAAAUGGUGCUGGGAAAACUGGAAAUCCAUAUGCAACAAAAUAAAAUUGAACCCCUAUCUCUCACCAUGCACAAAACUCAACUUAAAGUGGAUCAAAGACCUAUGAAUUAAACCAAAUACACCGUGCCUAAUAGAAGAAAAAGUAGGCCCAAAUCUCCAUCAUGUAGGAUUAGGCCCCAACUUCCUUAAUAAGACUCCUAUAGCAUAAGAAUUAAAAUAAGAAUCAAUAAAUGGGAAGGAUUUAAAUUAAAAAGCUUCUUCUCAGCAAAAGAAAUAUCAGUGAGGUGAAUAAAGCCUACAUUUUGGGAGCAAAUUUGUACCAAUCACUAAUUUUUAAAGAAAUAAUUCUACUAAUUCUAAGUUAAUUUUAUUCUGCUAUGUACAUUUGAGACCAAAGAUAUUUUAUUUUCAUUUCAUACCCUGUUUCAAACAACUUUAGAGCAAUGUCCCACAGUUACGGCUACUGAAAACUUUCUCAUAAGGUUCUUUGAUUUUGAUGAAAAUCACUUUAGUAUAUGUCAACCAUGACUUGAGUUACAUUUAUCAUGUUGAAAAGGAUUCUUCUAUUCUUAGUCUUCUUUUAAAAAUUGGUAAUAUAUUGAAUAUUGUAAAAUGUCUAUUCUGGAAUUUGUUGAAAUGUUCAUGUUUUAAAGUGAUCACAUAUAUAAUCAAAUAAAUACUAAAUCAACACUGCA